rnacentral:rRNA from 1 species
GAUGAACGCUGGCGGCGUGCCUAAUACAUGCAAGUCGAGCGAACGGACGAGGAGCUUGCUCCUCUGACGUUAGCGGCAGACGGGUGAGUAACACGUGGAUAACCUACCUAUAAGACUGGGAUAACUUCGGGAAACCGGAGCUAAUACCGGAUAAUAUAUUGAACCGCAUGGUUCAAUAGUGAAAGACGGUUUUGCUGUCACUUAUAGAUGGAUCCGCGCUGCAUUAGCUAGUUGGUAAGGUAACGGCUUACCAAGGCAACGAUGCAUAGCCGACCUGAGAGGGUGAUCGGCCACACUGGAACUGAGACACGGUCCAGACUCCUACGGGAGGCAGCAGUAGGGAAUCUUCCGCAAUGGGCGAAAGCCUGACGGAGCAACGCCGCGUGAGUGAUGAAGGUCUUCGGAUCGUAAAACUCUGUUAUUAGGGAAGAACAAAUGUGUAAGUAACUAUGCACGUCUUGACGGUACCUAAUCAGAAAGCCACGGCUAACUACGUG